rnacentral:lncRNA from 1 species
CAUAAAGUGACGUUUACAUAUGAAGACACUGGGUAAGUGGUCAAAUAACUCGUUUAAUUGGUUAUUCAAAUUUUUGAAGGACCUACUGUAUAAGGGAGAGUUACUUCCGUCAAGUCAUUACGAAGUCAAAAAAUUAUUGAAAGGACUUGGGUUGGGAGUCGAUGACCUGGGCUUACGUUGCGAAAAGAUACAUGCAUGUCCGAAUGAUUGUAUUCUAUUUCGGAAGGACAAAAAAGAUCUACAAGCAUGUCCGAUUUGUCAUUCAAGC